AGGGCGUACGGUGGAUGCCUUGGCGAUAUCAGCCGAAGAAGGACGCGGUAAGCUGCGAUAAGCUACGGAGAGGUGCAAGCAACCUGUGACCCGUAGAUUUCCGAAUGGGGGAACCCGGCAGUGGUUAUGCACUGUCACCCAUACCUUUGAGUAUGAGGAGGGCACCCGGGGAACUGAAACAUCUAAUUACCCGGAGGAAAAGUAAUCAAACGAGAUUUUCUUAGUAGCGGCGAGCGAACGGGAAAGAGGCCAAACCGGAGCGGGCAACCGCACCGGGGUUGAGGACAGUCAUCAAGUGUAAAUGAGGUAGAAGAAUCGAGCUGGAAAGCUCAGCCGUAGAAGGUGAAAGCCCUGUAAUCGAAACCUUGCAUACAUGGGACUGUAUCCAGAGUACCACGAGACACGUGAAACCUUGUGGGAAGCAGGGGGGACCACCCUCCAAGCCAAAAUACUGAUAUCGACCGAUAGCGCAUAGUACCGUGAGGGAAAGGUGAAAAGAACCCCUGGCGGGGAGUGAAAGAGAACCUGAAACCGUAUGUCUACAAACAGUCGAAGUCUGUAUAUAUAUCAGGACGACGGCGUGCCUAUUGAAGAAUGAACCGACGAGUUACUGUUGCUAGCGAGGUUAAGUGGAAAACAUGGAGCCGCAGCGAAAGCGAGUCUGAACAGGGCGUUCAGUUAGUAAUAGUAGACCCGAAACCGUAGUGAUCUAUCCAUGGCCAGGUUGAAGCACAGGUAAAAUUGUGUGGAGGACCGAACUCGUGAGCGUUGAAAAGCUUUGGGAUGAGUUGUGGAUAGGGGUGAAAUGCCAAUCGAACACGGAGAUAGCUGGUUCUCCCCGAAAUAGCUUUAGGGCUAGCCUCGAGGUAGAGAGUAUAGGCGGUAGAGCACUGAUCGGGCUAGGGGCCAUACCGGUUACCGAACCUAGUCAAACUACGAAUGGCUAUACUUAUACUCGGGAGUCAGACAGUGAAUGAUAAGGUCCAUUGUCAAGAGGGAAACAGCCCAGAACACCGACUAAGGUCCCCAAUGUUACACUAAGUGGCGAAGGAUGUGGAAUUUCCAAAACAACCAGGAUGUUGGCUUAGAAGCAGCCACCAUUUAAAGAGUGCGUAAUAGCUCACUGGUCGAGAGACUCUGCGCCGAAAAUGUCCGGGGCUAAAGUGUAAAACCGAAGUCGUGUCAUAUGCAGCAAUGUAUAUGGGUAGGGGAGCGUUCUCAUCGGGCUGAAGCAGUACCGUAAGGAGUUGUGGACUGAUGAGAAGUGAGAAUGUCGGUAUGAGUAGCGAAAAGAAUGGUGAGAAUCCAUUCCACCGAAAGCCUAAGGGUUCCUGAGCAACGAUCGUCGUCUCAGGGUAAGUCGGGACCUAAGCCGAGGCGGAAAAGCGUAGGCGAUGGACAACAGGUUGAAAUUCCUGUACCGGUGUGAAUCGUUUGAUCGAUGGAGUGACACAGUAAGGUAGGUCAGCACGCGAUUGGAAGAGCGUGUUUAAGCAGGUAGGUUGAGCUAUAGGUAAAUCCGUAGCUCUAAAAGCUGAGAUGUGAUGACGAGUGACUAGCAAUAGUCGCGAAGUGAUUGAUCCUACACUGUCGAGAAAAGCUUCUAGGUAGAGACACAUCGCCCGUACCAAAACCGACACAGGUAGGCGGGGAGAGAAUCCUAAGGUGCGCGGGAAAACCCUCGUUAAGGAACUCGGCAAAAUGCCUCCGUAACUUCGGGAAAAGGAGGACUCAUGUAGUGUGAAGAGCAGCAACGCAUGGAGCAUGAAUGAGUGGCACAAGAGAGGCGCAAGCGACUGUUUACCACAAACACAGGUGCCUGCUAAAGCGAAAGCUGAUGUAUAGGUGCUGACACCUGCCCGGUGCUGGAAGGUUAAGAGGAGGGGUUAGACUUCGGUCGAAGCUCUGAAUUGAAGCCCCAGUAAACGGCGGCCGUAACUAUAACGGUCCUAAGGUAGCGAAAUUCCUUGUCGGGUAAGUUCCGACCCGCACGAAAGGUGUAACGACUUGCGCACUGUCUCAACGAGGGACCCGGUGAAAUUGAAGUACCUGUGAAGAUGCAGGUUACCCGCGACUGGACAGAAAGACCCCAUGGAGCUUUACUGCAACCUAAGAUUGAACUUAGUUAAUGAAUGUACAGGAUAGGUGGGAGACGUAGAACCUAGGACGCCAGUUUUAGGGGAGUCGCUGUUGGGAUACCACCCUUUCAUUAAUUGAUUUCUAACGGGCCGAGUAACGACCGGCCGGACAGUCUUAGGCGGGCAGUUUGACUGGGGCGGUCGCCUCCAAAAGAGUAACGGAGGCGCCCAAAGGUUCCCUCAGAGCGGACG
rnacentral:rRNA from 1 species